rnacentral:misc_RNA from 1 species
GAGUGGGUAGAUGGGGCACUACUAAUUUUGUAGCUCUCUCUCUCUCUUUUUACCUCUCGCCCUCACCUCCUUCUCUGUCUCUGUUUCUUCUUUUUCCCCUACGUUUGUGGCGGAUAAACCGGUGACUCGGUUUCUGAAUCCAAAUCCCAAAGAAACAAAGAAAGCUUCUAAGAGGGAAAAAUAGCUCCUUUUUCUUCCAGGUGUAUAUGCAAAAUAUAUGGAGUUUUAUUAUUACUUUCUCUCUUUCUUUCCCUGUCCUCUGCUUACCCAGAAAACACUUUUCCUUUUCUCUUGCUUCUCAUUCUUGCAGAGUUUUAGCUUAAUCUAACCAUCACCUCAUACCCUUUGUAAUAUACAUGCAAAUGAUAUUUCUAAGCAGUUUUCUUGUGUGCGUUUAGCGUCAUGGAUCUGUAAAGCUAAUCAGCAUAUCUUUUAUUUGUGAUUUGAUUUUAGUUUAUUUCUUGAUUUUCUUGUUCAGAUCGAUUAUUUUGAGUCAUUUCUUUCAUUUUAUCCAGAUUUUGGUUCGAGCUUUGUUGUUAUUGGAAAUUUUUAAAUUUUUUUGGGUCUUCAUUUCUUCAUUUGGUUUGCUGAUGUCGAAUGCUUAAUUAAGCUUUGUUCUUUUUUCUCAUUUUUGGUAAUUUAGUGCCCCUAUCUCUUAUCUGAUCUCUAUCUGUUGCUUGUACUCUGUCUACCUACUUCUAUCAUUGUCAUUUUUCUUUUUCUUUUCUUUUGAUAAUCAAAAGAUAUUCUUAUUGCCUGAAAGUAAUCUUGCGUGCAUCUCAGAUCUUUUGCUUUUUUAUUUUGUUUUUGGAUUUUUAAAUUCUGCACAUUUUCGUUCAAUUUCUCUUGUAGGAUUGACGCUUUCUGAUGAUAUCCAUAAAUGAGAUUCA